rnacentral:lncRNA from 1 species
GUGUGUUUCAUGCUGGAAAACCAUAAAUCUUUACAUUUAGGCUGCGAUUGUUACACUUUUUCUGUUAAUCGAUGUAGUAUCCAUGAAUCAAACUGUUGUUAUAAAUUAAGGUGAACGAAUAUUGUUAUGUUUUCAUUAUGGUACUGAUUGCAGUCAUAUUGAGCAGAUAAUCACCUGGUGAAUCACAUGUUUGUGGGCGGAGACAUUUUUGUGAAUAUAACUCACCUGUUGGUUUUGCACCUGUACGUUAGAGGGGAGAGGGUGAGCUGAGAUUGCCACAUUUUUUGUUGAUCUCUUUAGUUGUCGCCGUUUUGAUGCUUUUUGCAUUUUACUUUUGCUUACAAUAAGCCAGAGUCAUCCUAAGUUGUUCCAAUAAUUUUUUUGUCAUCAAUAAAAGGCUCAAAGCAUGACCCAAUUCAAGUCCAUUUGUUCAGCGUGUCAUACAAUAAUCAGGCCCAGCAUCAGUCUCUCAGCGACUUUGGAUUUUUGAUGUUGUCACUACAGUAUACAAACCGACCCCGGACCCCCAUCAGAGAAGAAAACAGUUAUGUGACCCCCCACAAGACCCCUGCUCUAGAACAGAACAGAAGAGCUCAUCCUAACAGGGUCAUCCUGGACAUUCACACCUGGGUGGCUGCCUUCAUCAGCACAGGUAAGCAGCUGGCUCCUACAGUCCUUACAAAGACAGAUAUGAUACAUACUAAUGUUUUAUUUAACUCGUGGUAAGUAAAAUCUACUAUUUUGUACUGAUUUCCCAUCAUUUACUUAUCUUUUUGCGAGACGGCUCCUGAAAAUGUUCUAUUUGGUAGUUUAAGUUUAUUAGACUCAUUUGUCGCCUUAAAGUGAUCUCUAUCAAACUAGGCGCUGCACAAAAAAAGUUGUAACAACAGAAACACAGCAAAAAUGUUAAAAGAAAUUUUAUAUAUAUAUAUAUAUAUAUAUAUAUAUAAACUAUAAAGUAGUAUUUUGAUUAAAUAUACACAUUUUUUGUCAAGUAUAAAUAAAGUUUCAAAACUAGUUUUACACUGACCCUUUAAAAAGAGUGACGUCACGUGUGAAGGUUAACCAAAUGUAUGGAAAUAAAGGUGGUUAUAUCUAUAGAAUGUUUUUAUUUAUAAUACGUUAUAAUUUUUACGUAAGAUUUAGAUUUAUUGAUAAAAUAAGUUGAUAAAGAAAUCACCCCUUUCUUAGCACAUAACCUUCCAACGUCCUCUCAAGCUCCACCCAAAUUCUCUCGUUCUCCGCUGUAA